CGGCGGCGCUGGCGGAAGGCGGGAAGCGGCGGCUCCUGAGGGCGGCGGCCUCAGAGACGCGUCCGGAGCCGUGAUGGCCGCCAAGGUGAAGGUGGAGAAACCAGAGCUGUCCCCGGGGGCCGCGCGGCGCCGCCUGGACGCCGUCCUGGAGCAGCUCCUGCUCAGGGGCAGCCGG